AAAAAAAUCGAAUCGACGAUAAAUUGCCAGAAUCAACUAGGCGAUUUCGUAGUUGCCAGAAUGUUCUAGCGGCAGAGAUUUGAUUGGAUUUUGGCCUUUUCGAAUAUAUGAAAAAUCAAUAUUCGAAUCAGCUGUUUACUAUCGCGAUAAAACUGGCAAAAGAAUAAAUUUGGAAGCGUUUGAUAAAUUUAUAACACUAAAUAAAAUCUACAAAAGUUUAUAAUAAGUUGCGCUAGUUUAGCUUUCAUUUAUUGGAAAAAAAGCAACGAAAAUAUUAAAAGGAAGAUAAUAAGAUUAAUGUGUUAUAUUCUUAUGUGUUCCCCUACAGAAGUUAAGAUAAAUUAAAUCUUGUGGUGGAAGUUGUAGAAGUAGUAUCCUUCUCUUUAUUUCCAAAGUCUGGGUAUAAUUUCGCCACUUGUCCGACGGGUGUACAAAGACGACCUGAAAAGUCAACUCGCUUCGCAGACUGACUACGUUCGGUACUACUGACAAUGUCCAAAAGGGAUCUGUAAAGUCAAAAGUGAAAUAGAAAAUAAGGGGAAUUAAUACUAAACAUCUCAUACCGUUGUCCGCCACUGAGAGCACGUUUGUGGGUCUUAUGAAUUCCGAUGCUACUAUUGCUGUUGUCUAUUGAAUGCGGAGGCGACAUUGGAGAAUCACGCAUUACAGCUUUAGUAGUUGAGUCACCUUCAAUACAAAUUAGAUUAAUUACAUUAGUGCAAUAAUCUACUGUUCAUUAAUCAAAAUAAUUAUUAUUUACUUUGGUACUUAAAGCAAUCCUCUUUUAAAAAAAUAUUCUAGUACGAACUCUAACAGAACUAGUAUAUUUGUAUAUACUUAACAGUGCUACUAUAACAAUAAUUACAUUUUUGUAAAUUUUUUAAAUGGAAAAUGUAGGUUUGAAAAAUACUGUUAUAGCAAGAUAAGAUAUUUUUGAUUAUUUAUUGAUGUGCGAUAAUAAAUAAUUUACUUACGA